rnacentral:lncRNA from 1 species
AAUCAACAUCUUCAUAUAAUCUCUGCAGUAUUAUUUUGCUAUCUUGAGAACCCAGACAGGCUCUGUGGAUUUAUCUCAAGCUGAAGAGACCUCUCCUGCUUCUCAGAAGUUUCAGGUCACUGUAAAUAUUGCACUGGAUUAGAGAGUGCUUAGUGCCUUUUUUUAGGGAUCAUGAAAGCAAAAAUAAUGCCCUGUCUUUGACAUGUAUACUGCAAAGCAAAACAGCACCCUGAACUGGUCUUCCGGAAGGGAGAGACUGAGAACUCACCAAUAACUCAUCCUUUAGUCUUCCAGAAGCAUGUUCCAGUAAUAUUUUGAAACUGCUCGUGGGGAAAACCAAACUAAUCCUGUCUCAAGGUACCUUCUGAAAGACCUCAGAAGGAAGAGUCAGUAAGGAUAAGCUGAGUCCCCUACAAUAACAGAAGGAAUCAGAGCUCCAUUAAUGUCAAUGCUGGGCCAAUGAGCAAAAAUAUCCUCACUUAUCCCAAUUAACAGGCUUACAUUUCUGAAUAUCCUGGCACAGCAUUGUGCAUUUUGAAAACAGACUGAAACCUUGUGCCCAUGUGAAUGUGACAUAGUCCUGAGUGACAACAUGAUUGAUCCUUGCUGUGUCCUUCUGCCAAGCACAGGUUUGAAAACGGUGCCCACAAAACGCUGGGGGCAGGUGGAGGCACACCUGCCUCCACUCAGCAUGGAGGCUGCCCUUUCUUCAGCUCCACAUGUGGUUGUUGCAGCCCAGGCCUGAUCUGGGAGCAUUUAUACAAACAGUUGCAGUAGGAGGUGCUGGAGGAUUUGAUAAGCGGAGUGAGGACGCAGCUUCAUGGUAGUCAGGAGUGCAGAAAGAAGCAGCUCCUUUGCCGACAGGGGAGAUGGCAGCAACCAAGGGAAAUGAAAGAGGAGGACUGAACAUACUGCAAAGGGAGGAAAAAAGGGAAUGGCCAAACAAAAACGGAGCCAGCUCUGCCUCCAGCCCUCCUCACCACCUUGCAGCUAGAGCCGCCCAGGAAACACUGAGAUGCUGCAGUGCUAACCAUCUUCAUACAGUCUGUCCUUGUGCUUCAAGGCACCGUUGGGAGCCCAAGAGCGGGCCUUACCUUGGAAAAACAAUUCCCUUCAUCUUUGCAGUGGGGGAGUUUCGUUUCCACGUGUUGGCAGUGGCAAUGGGUCUGAGUGUAGAGGGAAAUGAGUUGGGAAGAUGAGAGAUGCUUCAUACACUGCACGUGCAGCUGAACCCCUGAGACUGUCUGUAACAAGAAUACAGUGCUCAAGUACUGACAGCACUUGGCGCGGCUCCUUAUAUAAGAGACGAACCCUGACAAAACUGAUGUAUUCUUGAAAAUGGAAGUUAACCUCUGCAUUAUUAAACAUAUCCUAGAAGUCUUCAUCAGCUUGCCAUUAUUCAACUUUUAAAAAAAUCUGGUAGUAUAUUUUAUUCUUUUAAAUUAUUAUUAAAAGGUAGAAGAAUUAAAGCCUAGGACUAAAAGUAUUACUUAUCGCAGUAUUUCCACAGCUUCCCAAGAGGCUCUGGUUUCACAUGUGCUCCAAGCAAUGAGCAUUGCUUCAGAAGUCGGUGAGGUGCUGAAAAAGAGCAUACCAAUUUCACUUACAAUACUAGUUGCUGGUUUAUUGUAGGUGAUAAUAUUUACUUGCUACCCUGUCCUUCCAGGCACUACUCUGGACCCUGCUGCCAUAGGUUUCGGCAGAAACAUGGGGGUGUUCUUGAAAAGUCUUCCAUGAUUCAUACCAGGAGCUAAUGACAAAUACAGUCUCAAUAUUUAUUUUUAUUUUUUUUCCCUUUCAGAAGGACACUAAUUUUUGGAAAAGUACUUUUCUUGUUGGCAGCUAGGCAGAACUGCUUCUCCUUCCACAGGUCUUUUGACAUGUGUAGGACAACAAAAGGACAUAAAAUAGGCUAGUAAGCACAUGUGAAAGAUUGCUUGUAGUUCCUAUAACCGCAAAAAGGUGAUCACCUUUGUUUGAUUGCAUAAAAGAUGUGCUUUAAAGUCAACAGUUUGCGAGUCUUUUGAUAGCCAGACAGAAAACUAAAAUGUCUCUUUUGGGGAAAAAAAAUCGUGUGUGAAACAAUG